GUUCAUAAUAUCCUUUUUUUAUCCUUUUAAUGAUCUCAGAAGCUAAGCAGGGUCAGGCCUGGUUAGUACAUGGAUGGAAGACCACCUAGGAAGACCAGGUGUUGUAGGUG
rnacentral:rRNA from 1 species